rnacentral:rRNA from 1 species
UUCCGAACAGAGAAGUUAAGCCCGCCAGCGCCGAUGGUACUGCCUUAUGGUGGGAGAGUAGGUCGUCGCCAUCU